AUACGGAAGGUCCGGGCGUUAUCCGGAUUUAUUGGGUUUAAAGGGAGCGCAGGCGGAGAUGCAAGCGUGACGUCAAAUUUCGGGGCUCAACCCCGUCUCGCGUCGCGAACUGCGUCCCUUGGUUGCGGGAAGGGGAGGCGGAACUCGGGGUGUAGCGGUGGAAUGUAUAGAUAUCACGAAGAACUCCGAUCGCGAAGGCAGCCUUCCGGCCCGUCAACGACGCUCAUGCUCGAAGGUGCGGGUAUCAAACAGGAUUAGAUACCCUGGUAGUCCGCACAGUAAACGAUGGACACCCGCGGUUUGGCCUGUAUGGCUGAGCCGCCAAGCGAAAGCGUUAAGUGUCCCACCUGGGGAGUACGCCGGCAACGGUGAAACUCAAAGGAAUUGACGGGG
rnacentral:rRNA from 1 species